rnacentral:rRNA from 1 species
UACGAAGGGGGCUAGCGUUGUUCGGAUUUACUGGGCGUAAAGGGCGCGUAGGCGGUCACGACAAGUCAGUUGUGAAAUCUCUGGGCUUAACUCAGAACGGUCAACUGAUACUGUCGGACUAGAGUGCAGAAGGGGCAACUGGAAUUCUCGGUGUAGCGGUGAAAUGCGUAGAUAUCGAGAGGAACACCUGCGGCGAAGGCGGGUUGCUGGGCUGACACUGACGCUGAGGCGCGAAAGCUAGGGGAGCGAACAGG